rnacentral:rRNA from 1 species
AGACUUAGCAGAGAUGCUUUGGUGCCUUCGGGAACUCUGAGACAGGUGCUGCAUGGCUGUCGUCAGCUCGUGUUGUGAAAUGUUGGGUUAAGUCCCGCAACGAGCGCAACCCUUAUCCUUUGUUGCCAGCGGUCCGGCCGGGAACUCAAAGGAGACUGCCAGUGAUAAACUGGAGGAAGGUGGGGAUGACGUCAAGUCAUCAUGGCCCUUACGAGUAGGGCUACACACGUGCUACAAUGGCGCAUACAAAGAGAAGCGACCUCGCGAGAGCAAGCGGACCUCAUAAAGUGCGUCGUAGUCCGGAUUGGAGUCUGCAACUCGACUCCAUGAAGUCGGAAUCGCUAGUAAUCGUAGAUCAGAAUGCUACGGUGAAUACGUUCCCGGGCCUUGUACACACCGCCCGUCACACCAUGGGAGUGGGUUGCAAAAGAAGUAGGUAGCUUAACUUUCGGGAGGGCGCUUACCACUUUGUGAUUCAUGACUGGGGUGAAGUCGUAACAAGGUAGGCGUAGCGAG